rnacentral:rRNA from 1 species
UACGUAGGGACCGAGCGUUGUCCGGAAUCAUUGGGCGUAAAGAGCGUGUAGGCGGCCUUUUAAGUCCUGUGUGAAAUCCUGCGGCUCAACCGCAGACGGUCGUGGGAAACUGGAAGGCUAGAGUGCGGGAGAGGAGAGUGGAAUUCCCGGUGUAGCGGUGAAAUGCGCAGAUAUCAGGAAGAACACCUAUGGCGAAGGCAGCUCUCUGGGACGGUACUGACGCUGAGACGCGAAAGCGUGGGGAGCGAACAGG